UCUCCGUAGGUGAACCUGCGGAGGGAUCAUUAAUGAGAUAGGGUUUCUUCGGAGCCCGACCUCCAACCCAUUGUCUAUUAUACCUCUGUUGCCUCGGCGGGCCGCCGACCGUCCCCUUUCGAGGAGCGUCGCCGUCGGUCCUUCUAGGGCUUUCGAGCGCCCGCCGGUGGAUUUACAAAACUAUUUUUUAUAAACCAGUCAUCUGAGUGGGAAUUGAAUAGCUUCAAAACUUUCAACAACGGAUCUCUUGGUUCUGGCAUCGAUGAAGAACGCAGC
rnacentral:misc_RNA from 1 species